CAACAGCUCCUAUCGACAAGUGGGUUUACGACCUCGAUGUUGGAUCAGGGUAUCCCAGUGGUGCAGCCGCUACUAAAGGUUCGUUUGUUCAACGAUUAAAACCCUACGUGAUCUGAGUUCAGACCGGAGAAAUCCAGGUCAGUUUCUAUCUAUAGCGGAAUUUUUUCUAGUACGAAAGGACCGAAAGAACAUGGCCUAUACCCCAUGCAAGCCAUAAUUAUCAACUUAUGAUUAAACCUUAAUAAGUACAUAAUCCACNCACCCCNNCCUCAAGAAAAGAGCA
rnacentral:rRNA from 1 species